ensembl:lncRNA
CUUAGGUGUUAGGUUUUUAUUUCCUUGGCACUGAAGCUUCUGUAAAUUCCAGACAGGUUAAUGAGGAAAGACAGCUGUCAGUUCUUGUUUCCCAAAAAGUCUGCUUAAUAGUUUUCAAAGUACGUUACUGUCGGUUUCUAAGAAAAUAGUAAAAGAAAUAGAGACAACUGAGAUAUAUGGAAAAACAUUGUUGAAUCCAUGGAAGUCUUUGAAGAGGUAUUUAUGGGCAAGUCGGUCUGCUGUAGAUAGAGAUAUAUGUGCAGCCCCAACUGAGUGGCAGGCUGGGCAGCCACAUGACUGAAAACAAGUUUUGUCAAAGUCUGUUUGUCACGUUGAGUAAUCUAAAAGUGGGCAGAGGGCAGUGUCAGCAGCCAUUAUAAAUCUUUAACCAAAGAGGUAGCCACUAAAGAGCGCUUACAUCAUCACUUAAGCUCAAGUCUUCAGUGUCAAAUGUCACUUCAGUGUCACUUAAAAAUAUCCUGAAACCAAAUGUUAGUGUUAGAAAUUUGCCAUACAAAAGAGAAUGAUGAAAAUAUGCCCUAUUUAUUGCACUUAUUUGCCUUUUUUUUUUUUUUUUUUUAAUCUUUUUGUAACUGCAUGCUGGCUCACACAGCUCACUAUAAUUCUCAUGAGGGGUUCACCAACAAUCCUUCUAUGAAUCUUUUUAAAUAGAAAUUAAGCAAACCCUUUAUUUCUUUUAUUUAGAAUUGAAUUCGGUGAUGCUUCCACUCUAGUGAAUUCAUUCUUACGUCCUUCCUUUCACAAAUCACAGAUACUACUGCUAGGCAUAAUGCUGCGGUAAUAGUUGUAUCAGUAUCAAAGAAGCAAUUGAGGAAUGAGAUAUUGCUUUAUCUAGAUUCAGUAUUCUCAUUCAUACAUCCAGAAUUUGUUGACUCUUUUGACUGUAGAGAUGGACAAGAGCCUAAAAGUAACGAUUCUCAUGUCCUGUUGGGGACCUGUGUGAGAAGCGUGUACUCCUCAAGCUUUUGUUUGAACUGAUGGAAGUGUAAGAGAUCAUUUUCUGUUACAGUUUUUGCAGCGCACUCAUCAGAUUAUUCUAUCAUGACAAUUUGUUCCUGUAAUAUUUUUUUUUUCAAUCUCCUAAUCACUGUGGUCCUUUUUUAGAGCCUUACUGUAGUUUUCAAUCAAAAUUAAUUGCAAGGCUGGGUAUUUUACAGAAAUCUGAAUACACAUGCUACGCAGUCUGCUGUAGAUAAGCAUGUAGAUAGGUAGACUGGUGGAUAAAUAGAUAGGUAGGUAGAUAGAUAGACAAACAGACAGUUUUAUCUAUCAAAUGUGUUCUCACAAAAAGGGCAAUGAGUUACCCUGAAUAUAUGUGUACUUCCCAAUACAUCCCUAUUUAUUUGCAUUAAGUUAGCCUCCAUUAAUUCUUUCUUAAUGUAAUCUCCUAUUGGUCACUGUCUUGUGUACCUGGGAUCAAUGUUAAGCUCAUAGGACUACAAUAGUUAUUAAUCUUUUUUUCAAUGGUGGUGCAACCUUUGCAUUCUUUAAGCACUCUGGAAUUUCUCCCAUGUUUGAAAACUGACUGAGAAUUAAUAUUAACAAUCUGUUCUUUGCUGGCUCUUUUAAAACUCUUGGAUGUGACUAAUCUGGAUAUGCUGAUUUAAGAAUAUCUAAAUUUAGAACCUGCAGAUAACUAGAUCUUCUCUGUUCUCCCUUUACUGUAAGCCAAAAAAUUAUGUUUAAAAUGCUAUUAUUAAAGAUCUGGUUUUCUUGCUC